rfam:Salmo salar isolate Sally breed double haploid chromosome ssa20, whole genome shotgun sequence.
UGCAUUCACUAGUGUAAGUUGCUCUGGAUAAGAGUGUCUGCUAAAUGACUAAAA